rnacentral:rRNA from 1 species
AUCUCUGUAGAGUCUGCAUAUCAAUAAGCGGAGGAAAAGAAACUAACUAGGAUUCCCUUCGUAACGGCGAGUGAAGCGGGAAGAGCUCAAAUUUGAAAUCUUCAAGGUUUUACCUUGACGAAUUGUAGUUUAAAGAAGUGUUUUCUGUUGGUAGUUUUGGUAAAAGUUCUUUGGAAUAGGACAUCAUAGAGGGUGAGAAUCCCGUAUUUGACCAUUACUUUCCAGCUUUGUGAUACACUUUCAAAGAGUCGGAUUGUUUGGGAAUGCAGUCCAAAAUGGGUGGUAAAUUUCAUCUAAAGCUAAAUAUUGGCGAGAGACCGAUAGCGAACAAGUACCGUGAGGGAAAGAUGAAAAGAACUUUGAAAAGAGAGUUAAACAGUACGUGAAAUUGUCAAAAGGGAAGCGUUUGACACCAGUGUUGUUUUCUCGAAAAUCAAUUAAAAAAGACUUGGAUUUUGUAUUGUUAUGACCUUAUCAGCUUACUGUACUCUUUUCUUGCUUUUUUUAAUGCACUUUUCGUUUAACAAGUCAACAUCAAUUUCUUUUGUUGUAAAAGAGUCAUUGGAAGGUGGCUUUCACUUCGGUGAAAGUGUUUAUAGCCUUUGGCUUCUGCAAUCGGAGAGAUUGAGGUCUGCAGCGUAGAUCCUUCGGGGUUAGAUACGUAGAUGCUAAGUUAUAGUUUUUUAUAGACAACUUGUUGACUAUAAUUAAUCAUGUAGCUUACUCGUUUGCGCUAUUUUACCUACGCUUAGGAUGUUGAGUCAUCACACAUCUCU